GGAAUACUUAAGCAAAAUGAGCAAUAACAGCUCCAGUAUUCUUAUUAAUGAUAAUUAAUCUUAGCAGUGAAUUAAAAAUUUGGAUUUCAUGCUACUGGUUCAAAACGAUCCUAUGGCUCAAAUACACACAGUUUAUGGUUUCUAAACCAACACAUCACAAUUAAAGAUAUAGAUAUGUAGAAGAACAUUUUUUGAGACAAA
rnacentral:misc_RNA from 1 species